GAGAGGUGAUCAUUAAGGAUUUAAUUGGUCUGAAAGCUUCCUGAAGUGCUGAAGAGAGACCUACACCAUGCAGCGUGGAGCGGAAAGCCUCGCGAGCUGAGAAGGGUGAGAGAAGUGGCCUGAAACCCAGCAUAUAUAACUCUGAAGCACUGUAGAUAUUGCAUGGACUUUGGAACAAGAUAAGGAAAAAAAAGAUUUGCACCUGAACUCCCCUCCCAGGCACUGCCACCAGCUCCUUUCCAAGAUACACUUCUCUCUAAAUUAAAAGAACAGCCGACAAAGCCAGGGGCAGCACAAGUGUCCUUAUUACAGAGGUAGCGGGAAUAGCAGAUGGAUGACCAGAAGGAGUGGGGAUGACAAAGAAGCACUUGUGGAAACACUUACAUUUAGAAGAAAUACAUUAAAAAAACAAAAAUAGUAACCUUUGUUAUUGUGUACAGACCUUUCCAUAACCUUCACAUACAGCAGCCCUGACACCCACCUUUUUUACACAUCUUUACUGUGAGAGGAGAGGCUGCCUCACCUAUCCUGGUCCAUCAAGGAGCAAAGAAGCAAACCUGGCUAGUCAGAUAGUGGAGAGGCAAGCGACCUGUGGUCUAGAAGCACAAGAAGGAAGGAUUCCUGUUUCUUCUAUGGCAAUGACUUCAGUCUCAUGACCCUGGCUAACUAGGAUAACCACAGCCGUGGUGGAGCUGAGCCUGCUGAGUUACAGCCAGCACAGGUCACCCCGUGGGAGGCUGCAGCGGUGGCAGGGGACGUGCAGGAAGCCGUUACAUUAUCCCUGCUCUAGGCACAAACUUCUGCAGUGCUUUACGUAACACGGUCCUAAGGCUCUGGAUGAACAAUUUGUUUUGUCACUCUUUAAAAAAUCCAUCACUUUGAAUGAGUCAUGUACAGUGACUUCACCGGGCGCUGACAUACCAAUGCUUGUGCAAUGACUUGCAUGGACACUUCUCGUGAUGCCCUUGCCAAAAUUAUGGCAUAACAAAGCAGUGCUCACAUGCAACCGCCCCAUUGAGAUACCCUCACUGUGCCUUCUAGGAAAGAACAUGGCCUUACACCUUGUGCUGGAAAUACAGCUCUUUUAUUUUGUAUUUGCCCAGGAACAGUGUUGUUGCUCGCUUCUGGGACACAGCUUUGUCUUUCAUUACAUCACAGAUAAAUCGUAGCACAUAGAGCUCGUAGAAUUUUUUUUAAAAAACUCAUUUUACAAGGUUCAACUGAGAGAACCCGAAACACACAUUUUUAUUGAAUUGGUCAAAAAAACGCACUGCUCAGAGUUAAUUAGCUAUUCAGGUACAAUAUAGCUUUUAUAGGCAUCAUUUCUUAGAAUGAAAAGGUAUAUAAUGAUAUAUUGUAAAGAUUAUGGAGGAAGAUUGGUAUGUAUCAGGGAUAUUACUUUAACUGAAAAACAUCAGAAAAAUGUCCUAGUUUCUAUGUAGUUCCAAAGCUCAGUAUAUGGAACAAAACAUCCAGGGGAAUUAAUUACUUUUUUGUUGAUUUUUUUUGUGAGCUUUUUAAAUCCCAGGGAAAUCUGUGUACAGGAGGGUAUCAGUCAUCCAUACACAGAACUACAUAAAGUAUCAUUAGAGACCCCUCCGAAUACAUUGAUUUUUUUAUCCAGCAGCAGUGUAUCAAUAUUUUAACCACUGACAACAAGAUGUAGCCUUCAUUAUGAAGUAUUUUCCUUUGGGUAACUAAACCACUAUGUAUCAGGGAAAAUAAAUAGGUUGCCUCCCCACAGCUUCUGCCUAUGCAGAAAGUGAACUCCUCACACUGCUCUGGCAGAGGAGUGUUGAUAAGAAAUUUAAUAUAUUGCUCCCUCCUCCCACCAGCAGCUGUCUUAUCUAGUCCCACUUUACAUUA